UGCGCAGGUGGGCUUGUAAGUCAGUGGUGAAAUACUGCCGCUCAACGGUAGAACUGCCAUUGAUACUGCAAGUCUUGAAUAUGGUUGAGGUAGGCGGAAUGUGUCGUGUAGCGGUGAAAUGCAUAGAUAUGACACAGAACGCCAAUUGCGAAGGCAGCUUACUAAGCCAUUAUUGACGCUGAGGCACGAAAGCGUGGGGAGCGAACAGGAUUAGAUACCCUGGUAGUCC
rnacentral:rRNA from 1 species